AUGUUAUGAUGAUUCAAUUAACACCAUCUUUCGACUGAAAAACUUUGACUAGAUAUAUUAAUUGUUCUGAACAUGCUU